rnacentral:rRNA from 1 species
AGCAAUGCCGCGUGAGUGAAGAAGGCCUUCGGGUUGUAAAGCUCUUUUGUCAGGGAAGAAACACCGGCUCUAACACAGUCCGGGAAUGACGGUACCUGAAGAAUAAGCACCGGCUAACUACGUGCCAGCAGCCGCGGUAAUACGUAGGGUGCGAGCGUUAAUCGGAAUUACUGGGCGUAAAGCGUGCGCAGGCGGUUAUACAAGACAGGCGUGAAAUCCCCGGGCUUAACCUGGGAAUGGCGCCUGUGACUGUAUAGCUAGAGUGUGUCAGAGGGGGGUAGAAUUCCACGUGUAGCAGUGAAAUGCGUAGAUAUGUGGAGGAAUACCAAUGGCGAAGGCAGCCCCCUGGGAUAACACUGACGCUCAUGCACGAAAGCGUGGGGAGCAAACAGGAUUAGAUACCCUGGUAGUCCACGCCCUAAACGAUGCUGACUAGUUGUUCGGGAUUUACAUCCUGAGUAACGUAGCUAACGCG